AUGUGGCAAACGCAAAGUAAUAAUUCCAAUAAUUCCAAUCCAAACUCUACAUCGAAUGAGAAGAACAAUUUACGUACUCUGGGCAUGACAUCUGCUAUUAGCGUGGCAGAGCCUAAGCCCAUUGACAUUGCCAGAACUAACGAAUUGAAGGAGGCCCUUAAACCCUACAAUGUUUUCGAAUCUGAAGAAGAGUUGAAUCAUAGGAUGGAGAUCUUAAGCAAACUGAAUGCAUUGGUCAAACAGUGGAUAAGGGAUACGAGCAUAGCUAGAAAUAUGCCACCUAAUGUCGCUGAACAAGUUGGUGGUAAAAUAUAUACAUUUGGUUCAUAUAGAUUAGGCGUACAUCACAAAGGCGCCGAUAUCGAUGCGUUAUGUGUUGUACCACGUCAUAUAUAUAGAUCGGAUUAUUUUGCGACCUUUUUUGAAUUACUGAAGAUGCAGGAAGAAGUUACAGAUUUAAGGGCAGUGGAAGAAGCCUUUGUACCCGUCAUAAAAAUGAAUUUUGAUGGUAUAGAAAUCGACAUGCUAUUUGCAAAGUUAACUCUUAAAGAAAUUCCAGACUCGAUGGAUCUCAAGGAUGACAUGCUACUCAAAAAUCUCGAUCAAAAGUGUGUCAGAAGUCUCAAUGGUUGCAGAGUGACAGAUGAAAUAUUGCGCUUAGUACCUAAUAUAGAAAAUUUCAGAUUGGCUCUUAGGGCUAUAAAGUUAUGGGCGAAACGACAUGGCAUAUAUAGUAAUGUCUUAGGCUAUCUUGGUGGUGUAUCCUGGGCGAUGUUAGUCGCUCGAACGUGUCAGCUUUAUCCUAAUGCCGUGGCAGCAACUCUAAUAGAAAAAUUUUUCCUCGUAUUCUCUCAAUGGAAAUGGCCACAGCCGGUACUCUUGAAACAACCUGAUAAUGUCAAUCUAGGUUAUCCAGUUUGGGAUCCGAGAGUAAAUGUGUCAGACAGAUAUCAUUUAAUGCCAAUAAUUACGCCAGCAUAUCCUCAACAAAAUUCUACUUUUAAUGUAUCUGUGUCUACAAGAACUAUUAUGCAAGAAGCAUUUGAAAAUGGACUAGCCAUAACUGAAGAGAUCAUCAUUGGUAAAGCAACGUGGGACAAGUUGUUCGAGCCGCCAAACUUUUUUGGAAAAUAUAAACAUUACAUUGUAUUGUUGGCCAGAAGUUCAAGCGCAGAAGACCAACUUGAAUGGUGCGGUCUUGUCGAGUCAAAAAUACGACAUUUAAUAGGUACAUUGGAGAGAAAUCCUCAUAUUACUUUGGCACAUGUAAAUCCGGAAGCAUUUCCACCAUUGGAUCCUGAACCAGGCAAGCAUUGUUCCAUGUGGUUCAUCGGUCUGUCAUUUGCUAAGAGUGAGAGUCUCAAUAUUGACCUCACAUAUGAUAUCAAAUCUUUUGUUGAAACAAUUGAGAGGCAAGCAGAACAAAUAAGUAUGUUAAAGGAAGGAAUGUGGAUUGAGGCCAAACAUGUAAAACGGAAGGACUUGCAUACUUAUGUAUCUUCAAGUUUGGUGAAGAGAGAAAGAAAGGUUUCUGGUGGGGUGCAUCGGAACGGCAAUAUCGCUGGAAAUGGAAACAGUGGAAGUAUAUCGCCACGAAGCCAAGGUGAUCCAAGCAGAAAGAGAUUAUCAGAUCAGCUUGAUUCGUGUGGAAAGAAACGGAGAGUCAAUGACACAGAAGAACAAAUAGAGAAUGCGUCGCUAGUGGUUCAGUCAUGCGGAGAAGACAGUAAUUCUGGCUUGAGCAUGGAUGAAUACAAACAGAAUGUAUCAACUACUAAGGAUGUAAGGAAUUAUACAUAUAAUGAACAAUAAUCAAUCUCUUCAAAAAUACAGGAAACAAUUAGAUAAUUAUGUAGGAAUAUGAAGGAAUAUAGAAGGACCUACUGGAGCAUCUACAGUAGCACAAGAGGGAUUUGUAUGCACUUGAUGACCACUGCGGGAUUAUCUUACGCCAAUCCACAGAUGCUCCUCUGGGCCAUCUAGACUGUAAACGUUUCUUACGCAACCAUCCACUGCCCACUGUAAGUCCUUCAUUUCGUAAAAGCAAAACAAUGUCACGUAAUGGAGGAAGCUAUCCAGGUGGAGUCAAUCGAUAAACGACUGUUAACAUGUUUGUGUAACAAACGCUAUAAUUAAUAGUAUUUAUAAAAGAAAAAAAAACAUCGACACAGUCAAUGGGAACAAUUACGCCGAAUGUUUACGCGAUUGUGCCAGUGUCUGUGAUGUUACUUAUAUCACUGGAGAUAUUUCGGAUAAGUCUGACACGUAAUCGAAGGAACCUCACCGUGAGAGUUAAAUCUAUUAUCGCGCUUGGAAACAAAUUAGUAAUCAUACUUUUUAUAUUUCCUUUUUGUAUAUAUUGAUUACAUUACUCUUUUUUAUUGAUAAAUACUUGAACAAGAAACUUAAGAUUUGAUAAUACCUGAUGUAACAUAAUUUUACAUAAUUUACAUGACGGACAGAAAUGGUUUGAGAAAAUUACAUGUACGGGAAUUUUCGUAUUCACGGAUGUUUCACGCAUGUUGGAAAAAAAGAAAAAAAAAAAGAAAAUACGAAAAAUAGAAUAUAUUCUUAUAAUAAAGUGCAUUUUUGUAAUGCACAGUGGAAUAUGCUUUAAAAAUGCAUAUGUGUAUCGUUUAGUUAUAUAAGUAGUUGAUAUAUACUUUAUUAACAUUAACAAAUCACACGCGUCGUGAUCUGUCUCCUUUAGGGACUUACAAGCAGUACCGGUAGCGUUAGCGUUUCAAUACGCUUUACUGUUUGUACUAAAUAUAAACUUUAUCAUUUACGCGAUACUUAAUACUAUUACUAUCAUUAAGUAAGGAUUAGAUAUUCCAAUGCAAAUCGGGAAAUUAAGUAUUUCACGAAGCUCGCCAUUCAUAAAGAAAGAAAUGCUAUAAAAUGGUUUGCUUGAAAUGCGUGCAAAAAUUGUAAUGCAAGCGCCCAUUACAAUUUUUACGACAAGAAUCACCGACACUGGCAUAAAUCUGAAGAUGUUUCAUUUGUAGAGUACGUACCGUAGAUAUAAUAUUUGUUUGAAAAAAAAAAAAGUAAGAGAAGGA
rnacentral:misc_RNA from 1 species